rnacentral:rRNA from 1 species
UACGUAGGAGACGAGCGUUGUCCGGAGUUACUGGGCGUAAAGGGUGCGCAGGCGGCCCUGCGCGUCGCGAGUGAAAUCUCCCGGCCCAACUGGGAGGGUGGUCGCGAGACGGCAGGGCUUGAGGCUCGGUGAGGGGCGUGGAAUUCCGGGUGGAGCGGUGAAAUGCGUAGAGAUCCGGAGGAACACCAACGGCGUAGGCAGCGCCCUAGACGAGACCUGACGCUCAGGCACGAAAGCGCGGGGAGCGAACAGG